UUUCUUUUCCCCCAGAAAUAGGUAAAAAAAGAAGGGUGAAAGUAAUCAUGGUUGGUUUCAAUGAUUGAGCAGUAAUAUAUUUACAAAACGCUUAAACAAUCGACGUAUUGUUUAAGUUUCAAUCUUUGUUUCUCACCACACAGAAACACAAACACAAACGGUUGGUGGGUGCAGUAGCUGAUUGGUGAGGAGUGAGCAUUGGGUGUUCCAUCAAAGGAAAAAGAAAAGCGAAAGAGCAUUGCAAGAGAGAAGGAAAGUCACCUCAAGAGUUCAAUAAUGAAAGGGGCAAAGCCAUUGGUUUCAUUGAUCACUAUGGAAGUGAGUGUUGUGUAAUAUUUUUUGUUUACAUGACAAGUUAUGAGCAUUUUUGUCUUUGACUUGUGAUGUGCCUCCACAAGAACACAUCACCACAACUCUACAUUAGGCUUUCUGGCUCAACUUCCGACCAAAAAGCCAAUUUCAUUUUGCCCCUACGGAUAAGGUUUUGCUAUUGCAUCACUGAUUUAUUAUGCUCAAUCAAUCAAUAAUGAAUUUAUUACCUUUGCAUGAAUGAAUGCAUUGCCCAAUUUAGCGUUGAUUGAAUCUCUGUCUGCAUUCUAUAUGGUAUCAUUACCCUAAUAUAUGUACACACAAACUUCAAGGAUGCGAUGGGAAACAUGCACAUAAAUUAUUGAAAACCAACCCAUGCUGCUAUUGCUAGCUACAUAAGAACUUUGGAUUCAGCGUAUCACAGCCACGUGAAACUUUCAUAUAUCAGUCUAUUCAUUCUAUUAAUGCAACAAAGGUUUCACUACAGCAAACCCCAUGAAGUAAAACUUGAGUGUGUUAAGAAAAGGAAAUACAGGAACACAGAUAUUAGGGUUUUAAA
rnacentral:lncRNA from 1 species